UGAAACCGUCCAAAACUGAGGC
ensembl:ncRNA